CGUGUAGGCGGGAGUACAAGUCAGAUGUGAAAUACCGAGGCUUAACCUCGGGGCUGCAUCUGAAACUGUGUUUCUUGAGUGUCGGAGAGGAAAGUGGAAUUCCCAGUGUAGCGGUGAAAUGCGUAGAUAUUGGGAGGAACACCAGUGGCGAAGGCGACUUUCUGGACGAUAACUGACGCUGAGGCGCGAAAGCGUGGGGAGCAAACAGGAUUAGAUACCCUGGUAGUCCACGCUGUAAACGAUGGAUACUAGGUGUAGGAGGUAUCGACCCCUUCUGUGCCGGAGUUAACACAAUAAGUAUCCCACCUGGGGAGUACAGCCGCAAGGUUGAA
rnacentral:rRNA from 1 species